GUUUCUUUGAGAGGCAGAAAAUGUCGUCUAAUCGUCGGUAAUAGACGAUUAGACUGCUGUAUAAAUCAUAAGGAAUCCGAUGGCGACAGCUAAUUCAGCAGCGCUUCGCUUUCACAGACGGUGGGGACGACGUCUCACUUUUUUCGUCACUCAGAAAAGAAGCUCUAACAAAGAUAACUUACGAGAAUGAUUUCUGGACUUGAUGCUCCAAACUGCGAUUUCCCUUCCCAUGUGAGGGUGCCCAUUGGAGAACGACAUGGUGUGCUCAAGGGAAACCACAAGUCCUGAAUACGACCAGAGCCUGUCUGCUGACGCCAGCUCGGUCGGCUGCUGAUUAAACCAUUGGGACUUUGGCAGGAAUCCGACAACAAAUGGAAAAACUGAGAAGUUCUUCCCCUUCUUUUACAAGAUCACAAACAAGACCGACCACCUAGUAAUGCAAACUGCAACUCUGCCUUCACCACCAUUCAAACUUCAUGACACAUGGAAAACUUUGACUUAUAUGUCUUAAAAUGGUAAAGGACAGUUCAUGGCUCCUUCUUAAAACUUUGUUCUGUGUCCCACCAGCAGACAACAAAGAGGGGAGGAUCUCGCUUUGAAUUUCCUCUCACCAAGGUUUCCAACUUUUUCCAUAUGUGCAAAGAGUUUUCAGGAAGUUUUCCCUGUCCUUUCAAAGAAAAGCAUCAAAAUCAGUUGUGCACACAAGACUGGGAAUACCACACUCUGAAAGUCAACAAGUUUUUUGUUGCAUCCAAAAAAUAAAAAAUACAGAGUGGAAUUGAAGAAAAUGAAGCUGUGCCGUUAUUUUAUAGAAUUUCUCUUUAGUUGUUAUUUUCUAAAAUGAGAAGUGACGCAGGGCUGAAGCCAGCACACUGUUUCAGAGCCAAGAACAUUGAGCAACAAACG